rnacentral:rRNA from 1 species
CAAGCGGUGGAGCAUGUGGUUUAAUUCGACGCAACGCGAAGAACCUUACCUGGGUUUGACAUCCCGAUCGCACCUUAUGGAAACAUAGGGGUCAGUUCGGCUGGAUCGGUGACAGGUGCUGCAUGGCUGUCGUCAGCUCGUGUCGGAUGUUGGGUUUAAGUCCCGCAACGAGCGCAACCCUUGUCCUUAGUUGCCAUCAUUUAGUUGGGCACUCUAAGGAGACUGCCGGUGUUAAACCCGGAGGAAGGUGGGGAUGACGUCAAGUCCUCAUGGCCCUUACGUCCAGGGCUACACACGUGCUACAAUGGCCGGUACAAAGGGAAGCAAGACCGCGGAGGUGGAGCUAAUCCCAAAAAGCCGGUCUCAGUUCGGAUUGGAGUCUGCAACUCGACUCCAUGAAGUCGGAAUCGCUAGUAAUCGC